UACAGAGGUCUCAAGCGUUGUUCGGAUUCAUUGGGCGUAAAGGGUGUGUAGGUGGCGCCGUAAGUCGGGUGUGAAAUUUCGGAGCUUAACUCCGAAACUGCAUUCGAUACUGCGGUGCUUGAGGACUGGAGAGGAGACUGGAAUUCAUGGUGUAGCAGUGAAAUGCGUAGAGAUCAUGAGGAAGACCAGUGGCGAAGGCGGGUCUCUGGACAGUUCCUGACACUAAGACACGAAGGUCAGGGGAGCAAACGGG
rnacentral:rRNA from 1 species